GAAUUUUGGACAAUGGGGGCAACCCUGAUCCAGCCAUUCCGCGUGAGUGAAGAAGGCCUUCGGGUUGUAAAGCUCUUUCGCAAGGGAAGAAACGAUGUAAGUGAAUAGCUUAUGUUAAUGACGGUACCUUGAUAAGAAGCACCGGCUAACUACGUGCCAGCAGCCGCGGUAAUACGUAGGGUGCAAGCGUUAAUCGGAGUUACUGGGCGUAAAGCGUGUGCAGGCGGUUUUGUAAGUCAGAUGUGAAAUCCCCGAGCUCAACUUGGGAACUGCGUUUGAAACUACAAGACUAGAAUAUGUCAGAGGGGGGUAGAAUUCCACGUGUAGCAGUGAAAUGCGUAGAGAUGUGGAGGAAUACCAAUGGCGAAGGCAGCCCCCUGGGAUAAUAUUGACGCUCAUGCACGAAAGCGUGGGGAGCGAACAGG
rnacentral:rRNA from 1 species